AGUGAACGCUGGCGGUAGGCCUAACACAUGCAAGUCGAACGGCAGCACAGUAAGAGCUUGCUCUUACGGGUGGCGAGUGGCGGACGGGUGAGGAAUACAUCGGAAUCUACUUUUUCGUGGGGGAUAACGUAGGGAAACUUACGCUAAUACCGCAUACGACCUACGGGUGAAAGCAGGGGAUCCUCGGACCUUGCGCGAUUGAAUGAGCCGAUGUCGGAUUAGCUAGUUGGCGGGGUAAAGGCCCACCAAGGCGACGAUCCGUAGCUGGUCUGAGAGGAUGAUCAGCCACACUGGAACUGAGACACGGUCCAGACUCCUACGGGAGGCAGCAGUGGGGAAUAUUGGACAAUGGGCGCAAGCCUGAUCCAGCCAUACCGCGUGGGUGAAGAAGGCCUUCGGGUUGUAAAGCCCUUUUGUCGGGAAAGAAAAGCAGCAGGUUAAUACCCCGCUGUUCUGACGGUACCCAAAGAAUAAGCACCGGCUAACUUCGUG
rnacentral:rRNA from 1 species